UGAGGGGGGCUGCUCCUAGUACGAGAGGACCGGAGUGGACGCAUCACUGGUGUUCGGGUUGUCAUGCCAAUGGCACUGCCCGGUAGCUAAAUGCGGAAGAGAUAAGUGCUGAAAGCAUCUAAGCACGAAACUUGCCCCGAGAUGAGUUCUCCCUGACUCCUUGAGAGUCCUGAAGGAACGUUGAAGGCGACGACGUUGAUAGGCCGGGUGUGUAAGCGCAGCGAUGCGUUGAGCUAACCGGUACUAAUGAACCGUGAGGCUUAACCUUACAACGCCGAAGGUGUUU
rnacentral:rRNA from 1 species